ACCUGGACACUGUUAACUUUAUAAAACAAACACAGAGCAUUACACUCAGGGAAGAUGUCUGCUUCAAAGGUAAGUUUGUGUACUCACUUCACUCUGAUCAUUAUGUCUUAACGAUGAUCCUUAACAAUGUUUUCCCCUCACAGACGAUCAAAUUGUUUCCGUACCCAGACGUUGAAUUCACCACCGAGGAUCUGCUCCACGUGUCCUUGCCUUUUGGAUGUGUCAUAAGCGUCCAGAAAAUAGAAGAUGUGGACAUGCAUGGGGCCUGGUGACUUAUUCCGAUGCUACUGAUGCUCUGAUGGCCACGAUGGAACUCAUCGACAACAAAACAUUCACUGUGGGUCGACAAGCACCACAGAAGGAGAGAAAAGUCCAAAAUAAAGGAUCAGAAAGCCCUUGCAGCAAACCUGACUUUUUCCGUGAAGAUGACUUUAAUUACAUGCCACCAUGGAGACGUCACAGACCUCACAGACUUUAUCCACCUGUGUACAGCCAGCCAGAGUAUCUUCGUAUUUACAACUUGACCAGAAACUUCCAUCAAAGGCACAAGGUGCUCUGCCUCCUCCCUCUGAGCUCCACCAUUGUGGAGGUACGAACUCUUAAGUCAAAGUGAGAGUGUGUGAUCUAAAGUACGGGGGGACCAGACUGAAAAAUAGGG